rnacentral:rRNA from 1 species
GACGAACGCUGGCGGCGUGCCUAAUACAUGCAAGUCGAACGCACUCUCGUUUAGAUUGAAGGAGCUUGCUCCUGAUUGAUAAACAUUUGAGUGAGUGGCGGACGGGUGAGUAACACGUGGGUAACCUGCCCUAAAGUGGGGGAUAACAUUUGGAAACAGAUGCUAAUACCGCAUAAAACCUAACACCGCAUGGUGUAGGGUUGAAAGAUGGUUUCGGCUAUCACUUUAGGAUGGACCCGCGGUGCAUUAGUAGUUGGUCGAGGUAAAGGCUCACCAAGACCGUGAUGCAUAGCCGACCUGAGAGGGUAAUCGGCCACACUGGGACUGA